rnacentral:rRNA from 1 species
AGAGUUUGAUCAUGGCUCAGGAUGAACGCUAGCUACAGGCUUAACACAUGCAAGUCGAGGGGCAUCAGUUUGGUUUGCUUGCAAACCAAAGCUGGCGACCGGCGCACGGGUGAGUAACACGUAUCCAACCUGCCUCAUACUCGGGGAUAGCCUUUCGAAAGAAAGAUUAAUAUCCGAUAGCAUAUAUUUCCCGCAUGGGUUUUAUAUUAAAGAAAUUCGGUAUGAGAUGGGGAUGCGUUCCAUUAGUUGUUGGCGGGGUAACGGGCCACCAAGACUACGAUGGGAUAGGGGUUCUGAGAGGAAGGUCCCCCACAUUGGAACUGAGACACGGUCCAAACUCCUACGGAGCA